CCUACGGGAGGCAGCAGUGAGGAAUAUUGGUCAAUGGACGAGAGUCUGAACCAGCCAAGUAGCGUGAAGGAUGACUGCCCUAUGGGUUGUAAACUUCUUUUAUAUGGGAAUAAAACGUUCCACGUGUGGGAUUUUGUAUGUACCAUAUGAAUAAGGAUCGGCUAACUCCGUGCCAGCAGCCGCGGUAAUACGGAGGAUCCGAGCGUUAUCCGGAUUUAUUGGGUUUAAAGGGAGCGUAGGUGGAUUGUUAAGUCAGUUGUGAAAGUUUGCGGCUGAACCGUAAAAUUGCAGUUGAAACUGGCAGUCUUGAGUACAGUAGAGGUGGGCGGAAUUCGUGGUGUAGCGGUGAAAUGCUUAGAUAUCACGAAGAACUCCGAUUGCGAAGGCAGUUCACUGGACUGCAACUGACACUGAGGCUCGAAAGUGUGGGUAUCAAACAGGAUUAGAUACCCUUGUAGUC
rnacentral:rRNA from 1 species